rnacentral:lncRNA from 1 species
GCUGCUGCAUAUCUCCUCCGUGUCUUUUGCUGCCCCUUGCCAGCUUCUCCUCCCCAGAGAGCGGCCGGGACUCUCGGGGUCUCGCUGGGGUUUUCUCUGCCUGCGCAGAAGCGGCCGCGGGCGCGCCCCGCCAAAGUCUCCGGACUCGGAUCGAACCCAGGACUCCAGCGCCUAGGGGACCAGAGAGAGAAGCCACCCAGCCUCAGCGGGGCGCUCGACGACUUCAGCAAGCGGGCCGGCGCUGGCCGCGGGGAGCAGGGCUGGCCAUUGGAGUGUGCGGCUGCGGAGGGAGGGGACCCCGACUCGAGUAAGUUUGGAAGAGCGUCGCAGUCAGUCCCGGGGCAGCAGCAAGAUGCCGAGGGCGCAGUGGAGACCCGGAGCUCUCCCAACGCAACUUCGUCCUGCCUGAGCGAGCUGCUGUUUCCGAGGCCCUCUCCAACCAAGGCAAAGAGACACAAAAAGCCUGGAACUCUCGGACAGAACCACCUCCCGCCGCAAGUGAAGGCUCGCUCGGCCUCGCCCUCUAGCGUUCUUCUGGAGAAGCGCCACCCCCGGAU